rnacentral:rRNA from 4 species
GAAACAGUGGCUAAGACUGGAUAGGAAGAAAUAAGGCAUCUUAUUUCUUUUAAAAGACCUAGUAAUAGGUAUACUUUAGGAGGGGCUUGCGCCAUAUUAGUUAGUUGGUAGGGUAAUGGCCUACCAAGACGAUGAUGUGUAGCUGGACUGAGAGGUUGAACAGCCACAUUGGGACUGAGACACGGCCCAAACUCCUACGGGAGGCAGCAGUAAGGAAUUUUCGGCAAUGGAGGAAACUCUGACCGAGCAACGCCGCGUGAACGACGAAGUACUUUGGUAUGUAAAGUUCUUUUAUCAAGGAAGAAAAGCAAGUGGCGAACCAUUUGUUUGCCGGUACUUGAUGAAUAAGCCCCGGCUAAUUAUGUGCCAGCAGCCGCGGUAAGACAUAAGGGGCAAGUGUUAUCCGGAAUUAUUGGGCGUAAAGGGUGCGUAGGCGGUCUAGUAAGUCAGUGGUGUAAUGGCAACGCUCAACGUUGUCCGGCUAUUGAAACUGCUAAACUUGAGUUAGAUAGAGGCGAGUGGAAUUCCAUGUGUAGCGGUAAAAUGCGUAAAUAUAUGGAGGAACACCAGAGGCGUAGGCGGCUCGCUGGGUCUUAACUGACGCUGAGGCACGAAAGCGUGGGGAGCAAACAGGAUUAGAUACCCUGGUAGUCCACGCCGUAAACGAUGAGUACUAAGUGUCGGGUUAAACCGGUACUGAAGUUAACACAUUAAGUACUCCGCCUGAGUAGUACGUACGCAAGUAUGAAACUUAAAGGAAUUGACGGGACUCCGCACAAGCGGUGGAUCAUGUUGUUUAAUUCGAAGAUACCCGAAAAACCUUACCAGGUCUUGACAUGUUUUUGCGAAACGGUAGUAAUAUCGUAGAGGUUAUCAGAAACACAGGUGGUGCAUGGUUGUCGUCAGCUCGUGUCGUGAGAUGUUAGGUUAAGUCCUAAAACGAGCGAAACCCUUAUCGUUAGUUGCCAGCACGUUAUGGUGGGGACUUUAACGAGACUGCCAGUGAUAAACUGGAGGAAGGUGAGGAUCACGUCAAAUCAGCAUGCCCCUUAUGACCUGGGCUACAAACGUGAUACAAUGGCUGUUACAAAGGGUAGCUGAAACGUAAGUUCUUGGCCAAUCCCCAAAAACAGUCUCAGUCCGGAUUGAAGUCUGCAACUCGACUUCAUGAAGUUGGAAUCGCUAGUAAUCGCGAAUCAGCAUGUCGCGGUGAAUACGUUCUCGGGGUUUGUACACACCGCCCGUCA